AUUUUUUAUCCCGCCAGUGAAGAAUGCGCAUCCAAGAACCAAAAGCAUGUUUGACAAGAUGGAGCCCAAUAAUGAUUGCUGAACAACUCUUAUCAUCCCAUGCUUCAAUGCAUACAUUGAAAUUAUCAUUUCUGUCGCAUUGCCAAAGGUAGCAUUUAGAAGACCCCCAACUGCAGAUCCAAGGGAAAAAAAAUAAAAAAUAAACACCUCAUAUUAGAAGACAGAUCCAGGAAAGGAUAGAUAAGGAAACAAUACAAAAAUUUUGGAUAGACAAACUGAUUAUCACCAAAGGAAUAUAAGGACUAUCUCUUGAUAGCCAUUGUGAAAUUGAAAUAUACCUAAGAUGCAGUGACAAGUAUAUAUAGGACAUAAUUCAUGAAUAACCAUGGAUUUGAGCAUGAACAUCUCAUUUAAAAUUAAAUAAUUUUUCAAAUGAACAGCCUUGAAAAAAAUGUCUUAUCAAUGGCACACUAUCACCAAUAAGCUCAUCUUCAUAUGAAAAAUAGAGGCAAAUUAGGUCUCAAUUGUUCUUCAACUCCAUAUAUCAAGGCAAAUGUUAGUACGUCACUAAGGCCCACUUCAACCAUGCUUUUACCACCUAACAUGACAGUUGAUGUAGCACUACCACAAUAAUAUAAGUGAACAACAUCUCUCUCUUUCAGUCUCCCUCACAUCAGUAGGUAAUAUACUUGCUUCUUUUUACUUUUCCAUCACUGUCCUUCCCUCUCUUUUUCUUUCUUCUCUCUUGUCAUCCUGUCCCUAUUCAUAUAUUCAUCCCCAUCUUUGGCGGUAGAGGAAUGGGGAUUUGAUAUGUGUUUGUUGAAGAGAUGGCAAGACAAAAGAGACAAAUAGAGAGAGAGAGCAAGAAAUUUCCUUGCUGAUACAGAUGAAGAGAGAGAGAAAAAGUUUUCCACUUGAAUUGCAUGGCUAUGCCACAUCAGCUCCCAUGUCUGGUGCUAAAAAGGUGCUUACAGUAGCAUUUUCAUCCAUUCCAUAAAUUGAGCUCGCAUUUAGAGUCAUCAGCACAUUUAGGCUGAAUAAAGGCAUUACUUUGAGCUUCUUGUUCGCUUGUUAAAAAAUUUCAAGGCAAAUUAAGGUAUGAACAAGUACAACAAGCUCAACCUUACAAGAAAUGUAUUAAAAGUCUGUCUUUGGAGCUGAAAACCAUGAACUCAUCGGAAGCCACUUUAAUAAUGAAAGUGAGAACAUUCAAUAUCUAAAAUAAUCUAUCAAUUAGUAAGAUUUGAAUCUUCCCUUAUUAGUAAAGAGUCACGUGUAACGGUGCAUGCCAUGAACAUUUACAAAAGUUCCAGAUCCCAAAAAUUCUGUAUCUAGCCUCUAUAAGAUGCUCAAGUUUUCAUUGUCGCUUAACAAUAACUAGGAAGGUAGAAAUAGUAACUACCUGUAGCGCCUGUGUAGAAUGCAAGCUGCCUGCAUAAAAAUGACAGGUGAACUGGUGUCUUAGUAUGUAAUGAGAGAAAAGAGUUUAUUAACCACAGGAAUGGAAUGCUAGAUUCUAAUUCAAUAGGCAGUCACUCACUCGGUGGCAAAACCCAAACGCUCGGCUAAAGGGGUAAUACCUAAUAAGCUGAAGAAGAAGACCCAUCCCUAAAACACAAAAAUAGAAUUACAGCAACGAAUAAGGUAUUAAUUGCUGAGGCUUGAAAUAAAAUGAGCUGGGAGAAAUAAUGGUUGAACAAGAUGCCACUUGCCAUGAAACUAUACAUUAUGCAUGAAGUCAUUAUUCCAGGUUCCAACAGAAAAUGAAAUGAAUGCAAAGAUUGCUAAUCAAGUGCUUUCAUAUACUUUUCCCUGCUUAAUUGAAGUGAAGCGAAAAUGUCAAUCAAAGGGGCUGCAAUUCUUACAUGCUUUCCAGUAAGAUAAUGUAGGAAAAUUGCUAAGGGACCAAAAGGUAGCAACAUAUUUAUCUUCGCUUUAAUCAAGACAAUGUAAACACUUCUUAGAGGAGCAGUCCUCAUUUUUUUAAAGAUCCAUGAGGUGGAGAGAGCUGCAUGAGACCCAAUAUGAGAUGUCUCGAAGUCAAAAGAAUGAACUUUUCUU
rnacentral:lncRNA from 1 species